rnacentral:rRNA from 1 species
GACGAACGCUGGCGGCGUGCUUAACACAUGCAAGUCGAACGGUGAAAGCGGAGCUUGCUCCGCUGGAUCAGUGGCGAACGGGUGAGUAACACGUGGGCAACCUGCCCCUGACUUCGGGAUAACUCCUCGAAAGAGGUGCUAAUACCGGAUACGACUCCUGCAGGCAUCUGCGGGAUUGGAAAGUUUUUCGGUGAGGGAUGGGCCCGCGGCCUACCAGCUUGUUGGUGAGGUAGUGGCUGACCAAGGCGACGACGGGUAGCCGGCCUGAGAGGGCGACCGGCCACACUGGGACUGAGACACGGCCCAGACUCCUACGGGAGGCAGCAGUGGGGAAUAUUGCGGAAUGGGCGAAAGCCUGACGCAGCAACGCCGCGUGAGGGAUGACGGCCUUCGGGUUGUAAACCUCUUUCAGCAGGGAAGAAGCGAAAGUGACGGUACCUGCAGAAGAAGCACCGGCUAACUACGUGCCAGCCGCCGCCGUAA